UUUCUUGGACUGCGGAGUUUCCACUCCUUUUUUGUUUGUUUGCUUGGUUGGUUUGUUUUCAUGCAGUGUCUUUUGUGAUCACAUUAUGUUUCAUGACACGUCACUGAAAUAUGAACAGUGAAGAUGGUGAUACUUAGAAGGAAUGUAGCAGUAGGAGUGUUCCAAUUUUGUUUUUAAGAUGAGGCCUUUCAUAAUGUUUUAGUGAACAUCAGUGCUUCAAGUCCAGAAGGGCAAGAGGAGAUGAGGUUAUAGAGCAAACAGCUGCACUGCUGCUCCUGGAGGGAGACGGGGGAGAGCUGUAGCUGCUAUAUGGAGACAGGUACCAUAGCACACAUUUUAUGCCAAGACAGCAAAGGUGUUGACAAGUCAAUGAAAGAAGUGUGAAAGCAGGCUGAACAGCUCUUGCAACUGCCACUGAAUGUCUAUGCAAACCUCCAGGAUUUUGGUCAGGUGUACAAUACAAGCAGGACGUGAGCAAGAUGAGUAUGGAAAAAAAACCACGGUCAGAGGAAAUGCACCCAGAUGAAGACUGGAAUCAAAGGAGCAGCAUUGUCGAUAAACCCUCUCAAGGGUGGCUGCACUUGAGUGAGAAGAUCCUGGGACCUGGUGUGACGUACACUGUGAAGGAUGUAUCCUCCUGUGAAGGAGCAGGGCUGCUCUGUGUGGCAGAGGGACUGUAGGAAUGCGUCCUUGCAAGGCUGGUGGCCUCCAGCCUCUGCUCUGCUCUGCCGGGAGUCAUCAUGCCCACUGACUUUCCAGGAGUCCUCAAGGCCUCCCUGCUGCCUGUAGAGACUUAUCAUGCUUUAAAUCUGGUCUGUGAUGCCUCUAACCUUCCCUUCUCUGUUCUGCAUGCUGGGCCAUAUUUUGGGCACUCUUUCUGCAAACACAAGAAAUUAUAACUUAAAUUCAAGAAAGCUGAAGAUUGACGAAGAUUCAGGAAAAACAUAUAUUAACUGCUAGACUCCUGUGAUGAAAACCUGUAGCAUUUAUCUAAGAAUAUCUAAGGGCUUUCCCUCUCUCUGUCUAUUUUNGACUGAUAGAGUGAUUUUAAGUGUUCAUGUUGCCAGAGAGUCAAACACAUAUAAUAAAAAAG
rnacentral:lncRNA from 1 species